rnacentral:rRNA from 1 species
GAUGAACGCUGGCGGCGUGCCUAAUACAUGCAAGUCGAGCGAACGGACGAGAAGCUUGCUCCUCUGAUGUUAGCGGCGGACGGGUGAGUAACACGUGGAUAACCUACCUAUAAGACUGGGAUAACUUCGGGAAACCGGAGCUAAUACCGGAUAAUAUAUUGAACCGCAUGGUUCAAUAGUGAAAGACGGUUUUGCUGUCACUUAUAGAUGGAUCCGCGCUGCAUUAGCUAGUUGGUAAGGUAACGGCUUACCAAGGCAACGAUGCAUAGCCGACCUGAGAGGGUGAUCGGCCACACUGGAACUGAGACACGGUCCAGACUCCUACGGGAGGCAGCAGUAGGGAAUCUUCCGCAAUGGGCGAAAGCCUGACGGAGCAACGCCGCGUGAGUGAUGAAGGUCUUCGGAUCGUAAAACUCUGUUAUUAGGGAAGAACAUAUGUGUAAGUAACUGUGCACAUCUUGACGGUACCUAAUCAGAAAGCCAGGGCUAACUACGUG